rnacentral:rRNA from 1 species
UACGUAGGUGGCAAGCGUUGUCCGGAAUUAUUGGGCGUAAAGCGCGCGCAGGUGGUUCCUUAAGUCUGAUGUGAAAGCCCACGGCUCAACCGUGGAGGGUAAUUGGAAACUGGGGAACUUGAGUGCAGAAGAGGAAAGUGGAAUUCCAAGUGUAGCGGUGAAAUGCGUAGAGAUUUGGAGGAACACCAGUGGCGAAGGCGACUUUCUGGUCUGUAACUGACACUGAGGCGCGAAAGCGUGGGGAGCGAACAGG